rnacentral:piRNA from 1 species
UAAAUUUACAAUUAAAUUUUA